UCGGUUCCGUCUCGAAUCGCGUUUGAUUUUGCUAUACCCUCGUCGCCUCUGCCUCCGUGCUCGCAGGGGGUUCGGCCGGCCCGUCUCGUCCGCCUCCGGGGGAGCGAUCGGUCGGGAUCAGGAUCCCGUCGAGCUGUUCGGUUUUACUUUCCGCGUCUGGUUUCGGGUGAUCCUCCGUUGGCCAUAGCAAGGUCAGUUUCCUCUCUGCGUUCGUCGGUGAUUUCAGAUUCGAAUCGAAUUGAAUUGAGCGUCUAUCGCCCGUACGGCCUUCUGCCUCUGUGUUCCCCGAUCAAGCGCUCUCGUCACCAGUUAAUACGAUUACGAGGUGGAUUCCAGGGCCUCGUGGAUUCUUGUUGUGCCGCUGAUCUAGCUUUCGGUGUAUGCGCUCUCAUCCUAGAUGCAACCAAGUGGGCGAGCGCUAGUUGUGGGGAGAUGAUAUUGGAUAUAGAUCAAGGGUGGAGGUUUGAUUUUUGUUGAUGGUUAUUUUGAUUGAUCGGUUAUUACAGUCCGACGGUUGGCCAAAUCUUCUGGGAUGGUCAAGCUUUUGACCUCUUAUUACCGACCUAGGCUGCAAAGGAAUGCACGAUCUGCGCCUAUUACAUUACAAUUCUGAUUUGGAUAUUUUCAGAAACUGGGAUUCAUCUUCUGGCACACCUGCGUUUGGAUGAUGGCACUCUCUGUUUAAUUUCUUCUUCUCCACAAUUCAAUUAGCCCCCCAACAACUCUGAUUUUGAUUUGUUGCUGGCUCCCCACAUGUCCUCUUUUGGCUCGGCAUGGCGUUCAUGGGGCUUAACUUUCUGGACCUUUCUUAUUGAAACAAUUAUGGCUCAGCAGACAUUAGUUUCCCGUGCCUUACACUCAGGUCUCAGCUCUUGCAGAUAGUGUCUUGCAAUGGAUAUAAUUGGAACUUGUGGUGUCUACCUGACCAUCCCAGUCGAGACAGGCUUACUUUAAACAUUUAUAGAAAGGUAUCUUGCUCGAUGCAGGUCGUAGCUCACCAACACAAGGCCACCAACCUGAUGCUAAGUUUGCAGUUCUUCUAUCUACUCCUUAGAUAAUACAUACUAAGAUUUCUUACUAGGCAAUAUUUCAAAUUCAGAUUUAGCUGCAAAGGUGCAAGAAUGAAGCUUCAAACAUAUCCUACAACCGUAAAAAACUUAAAUCUCUUAUCCUCUUAUUUUUAUUUAUUAAUUCAGCUACAUGUUCAUGUCUUUGAUUUAGGUUUUUUGCUUCUGCCCUCCAUGUCCUUGCAGAUUUGUUUUGGCCUAAGACAAUGCUGCUAGUGAGCCUGAAUAUGUUAAAUUGUCUGGUUUGCCAUUUACUAUCUCUUUGUGGUUUUAUUAAUUAUUGGUUAUCUGUAACUCUUGAUCCCUGCGUUAGUCUUCCUGCCCAUUGCUAUCUGAUAUAUUUAUAGGAAGUCUGGCCCUACAUGCAGACCUGUUAUUCGUGUGUUGGCUUCCAUGGGUUGGCUGCAGGACUGGAUCUAGUAUGUGGAGACCCCUGGGGUGUUGUAUGUCAAGGGGAUGUGAGUCAGGUCAGAUUUGAAUGGCUAUCACUCGUGUGCUGCUUGUUCUCAUCACGAAUUCCAUCAUCAUCAGUGAAUAUGAGGUGGAUUCGAGGUCCUAGUGGAUUCUUAUUGUAGCAGCUGAUCCUUUAGAUGCAGCAGAAGCAAGAGGGUAGUGGUUCCGCAGAGAUGUGGAGGUUUGGUUUCUUACACAUGGUUAGAUCUUUCUGGAGGACGAUGUUUUGGUGUUCAAAAUCCAACUUGUGAUCCGUGUUUGGAUGAUUGCAAAUUCUCGAUCACUCUGACUUUUAACUUACUCAUUCAUUUGCGAAGUACAAUAAUUUACUCUCCAGAGGUUCUGACUUGGACUAUUAUUAUUGGUGGAUCUACAG
rnacentral:lncRNA from 1 species